rnacentral:snoRNA from 1 species
GCCCAAUGAUGAGACCAAGGCGAAUACGAGCUGACUGAACGAGAGUUGGGUUCUUCUUGCCUUUACUGGCAGGUAAUCUUGGCAGUGCAGGGGAGGAUUCCUGUUCUGCUGUAAGGGCUUGCCUACAGUGACUUUGCUGAACCCAAAUUAUUCUUCUACAGUCACAGCAGAGUAAUUGGUGGGAUAAAGCUGACAGUGUGUGCUUGUUUGUGUGUGCUUGUUUGUGUGUGCUUGUUUGUGUGUGCGUGUAAGAGGCAAGGAGUUCACCCAUCUCUCUUUGCUGUUCAGUUAGUAAUGAGUUGCUUCUUUGGUAAUCUGAGGGCU